AUAUUUCUGGUACCAAUGUCAUCAUACAACGUAUACUGAUUGAAGAAACUUCUCAACUAUCAGUAAACAUUUCAUUCGAUCUGAAUUAGCAGCUGUGAAUACUCUACCGCUGGCAAAUUUAACUGUUUGGUUUUUCAUGAACUACAAACAAAGUGAUUUUGCUCAUUUUGGCCAAAUUUUGAUUUUGUUUUGAGGAUCAUUAUGAUGAGACUGUCUGAGUUGCCCUGACUAUAUUGUUGCAACGGUUUUUGAAGCAGACGGCAAAACUUCAAACGCAAUCUUAAUGCCACAAUGUUAUAAAUAGCAACGGAGAGAAAGAAAAAUGAGAAGGACGAUGGAUUUCAGUGUUGAACCUAAGACAAUAUUAUUGCUGAUUGAUGGAGAAUUUAAAGGGAGAUAUCAAGCAGCUUAGAAAGGAGAUCGGGAGAGAUCGAGGAGCUGCGCCUGUGAUAUGAUCGCCACCUGCUGAUCUGCAGCGCGGUUCCUCUGCCAGAGUCUGUGCUUUGAGCGGGAAACCAUGGUGCAGCUACGCGGGAGUGGUGGCUUGGGAGGAGGUCAACGGUCCGUUGGUGUGCGAAUCUGGUUCACCGUGUUGCUGAUUUUGUGCGGCUUCUGCAGCAAGACGGGAGGUGACGUGAGCUUCGAGACCACGAUCGUCGUCACCUCUGACGUAACAGUAGCAAUGACAGAGGAAUGGAGCACCAAAACAGUAUGUGUUUAUGUAUAAUGAGAUGACCAAUUGCUAAAUAUUUAUUGUAUUAUGCAGGGUCUUAUCCAGGACUUUUCUUUAAGGAGGGACGGUACAAUUCAAAGAGUUUACACAAUUAAAGGUGCAAUGUUUUAUACGGCAAGUAU